GGGCACAUGGUGUAGUUGGUUAUCACAUCCGCUUAGCAACUUUGUCUUGCUUGCGGGGGGUGCUGGGUUCAAUUCCCAGUGUGUCCA
rnacentral:tRNA from 1 species